AGAGAUUUUAUUCUCUUUAUUCUUAAGGAGUAGUUUCUAGUUUUCAGGUCGGACUACUUUUCUUCAUCUCAAUGUUAUUCUUCACAAUAUUUUUAACCGAAUAUUUCUAAUUUUUUGAUGAUUUCUUAUGAAUGCAUUAGGGUUUGGUGAUUUUGAUGGAUUCUUAGCUAAUUCAAGUAAGGAGUGCUUGUCUCAUCUCAAAUGUCAAGCGUGAUAUUGUGCUGAGAGUGCUUGUGCAUUGGUCUCACCUUUUUCGGUUCUCAUUGUCAUUUGAUAUAGCUUGCUGCUUUGUCGAAUGAUUGUAGCUUAUAUGUAAGGGUUAAUUGCAUAUACUAUCUGUGGUAUCGUUUUUAAAUUGCAACCCCUGUAGUGUACACUGUUGCAGAUGUACCCUUGGGUUAAAAUUGUGACUGUUUUACCCUUGGACUUACUAAUUUCUAGCUGAAGUCAAACAAAAGGAUAUUGGAUUCGGUUUGAUGUUAUUUAGGCCUUCUCUGUUCUCUGAGCUUAUUGCCAGAAGUAGAAGGAAUUGUUUUUGUAUGUUGACAAAUGAUUCCUGUGAAGUUUCAUGAGGACAAAUGAUUCCUGUGAAGUUUCUUACUUUUGGUGUU